rnacentral:lncRNA from 1 species
AGAUUGGAAAGUUGAAGGGGAGGAGAAGUGACUUCUUUCUGACUUUUUGCUGUUUUUAUGUUGGCCUAGCUUUUUCUCUCACCCCCAGAAGAAGCCUCAUUACCCUCUCAGAGGUGCCAGGGAGCAUGCACUUCUCAGAUGUCUUAUCCCCAGUUCAGGAGGCCCUUCCUCCAAGGAGAUGAGUGGUCAUCUCAAUAUCUUCCCUUUUAUUUCCCGAGACCUGAAGGUUGUUGUUUCUGCUGUUCUCUCUGGGUUACCCCAGGGCUCCAUUUUUGUUCUUCCAGUCUUACAGCACUUGAGUAAUCAAUUCUGUCUCUGUAAUCUCCCCUGUUCAAAUACCUAGCACUGUUUUUUGUUUGUUUGUUUGUUUUCCUUCCUGACUGGACUGUGGCUGAUACAAUACUACCCUUUGCUAGCUGUAACAUGGAGCAACAUUCCCUUCUUCUUUUAUAAAGGGUAAAGACUGAACCAAAAGAGAAGAAAAAAUGGAUCAUUGAGAACAUCUUUGUUACUGGCACUGUCUACAUGGUAUUUUGAGCAGAGUUUUGCAGUGUUUCCAAGUGCUGCAGUUUCUUCCCGCAGAGAGAUGGCCACUACAGACUCUAGCUGCCAGAAGAAUUUCCCCCAGAUCUGGAAAGUUUCUACAGUUGCUUACCUCGAAUAUUCACAUACAGAGAGGUACUUCCUCCAAAGUGCGGUUUUCCAACAACUCCAUAAUGAUAACAUGGGAACUGGACCUGGCUCUGCCAACAGAUGUCAAUACUUUCACGAUGAAGAGAAAUAGCGAUUCCUUCAUGAUCUGCUUCAAAAUAUUGGAAUAGAUUUUAGUGAUUCUGGAAUGGAUGAGAAGAUUUGACAGAAGCAUUGUUUUACUUUUUAAAUUUUCCUUCAAAUUACAAAUCAGAAUAACCAUUUCCAGGACAUUUUGCUUCAGCAAGGUCUUUUAUUUAGUCGUGCAGCAAGCGAUCUUGCAGGAUGACUCAAGACAAUACAUCUUUGUGUUGGAGAAAAUCCAAGUUUUUAAUGCUUUCCAAUUGACCCUUUUACUAAGGCAAAAGAGGCAGACUGUGCAGUGUAUUUUCAGGAUGUAAGGGAUCACUUCAGCUUUGUUCGGUUCCUGCUUCCAUAGGUAAUAUGUUCAACAAUGCAAGCAAAAUCCAAGGGGGCAGACAG